GUUAAUGUUUGGUUACCAGCUGACUGAGGUACGACACACAACUAAAACCAUCUCCUCAUUUAAGCAGGUUAAUGUUUGGUACCAGCUGACAGAGGUACGACACACAACUAAAACCAUCUCUACCUCUCAUUUAAGCAGGUAUGUUUGGUUACCAGCUGACUGGAGGUACGACACACAACUAAAACCAUCUCCUCAUUUAAGAGUUAAGGUUUGGUUACCAGCUGACUGAGAGGUACGACACACAACUAAAACCAUCUCCAUCAUUUAAGCAGGUUAAUGUUUGGUUACCAGCUGACUGAGAGGUACGACACACAACUAAAACCAUGUCCAGCAUUCUUUGUAUGGGCUGGGCUGGGCUGGGCUGGGCUGGGCUUGUUUGUUUGUUUGUUUGUUUGUUUGUUUGUUUGUCGUCUGUCUGUCUGUCUGUCGGUCUGUCUGUCUGUCGUCUGUGUUUUUGUUUCUGUCUGUCUUUGUUUGUUUUUUUCUGGUCCGCGUCCGUCAUCCAGCCGUCUGUCUGUAAAAUCUGUGGUGUUC
rnacentral:lncRNA from 1 species